rnacentral:rRNA from 1 species
UACGUAGGGUGCAAGCGUUGUCCGGAAUUAUUGGGCGUAAAGAGCUCGUAGGCGGUUUGUCGCGUCUGCUGUGAAAAUCCAGGGCUUAACCCUGGACCUGCAGUGGGUACGGGCAGACUAGAGUGCGGUAGGGGAGAUCGGAAUUCCAGGUGUAGCGGUGAAAUGCGCAGAUAUCAGGAGGAACACCGGUGGCGAAGGCGGAUCUCUGGGCCAUUACUGACGCUGAGGAGCGAAAGCGUGGGGAGCGAACAGA